CAUUUCUGAAAUAUUUUAUUUUAGAGAUGGUACAUUUGUAUUCAGCCCAUCCCCUUGGUUUACGGAUCUUAUGUGCCGUGGAAAUGAGUACAAUUUGUUCUUGAUGAAUCGUUAACACCUUUAAUGUGCACACCUUUCCCACAUCAAAGUUUCGGAUCAGCUCGUUUGCUAAAUUAAGAAUCCAGGUAGAGCUAAGUUUACAUUCGUGAGAAUACAUUCAUGGAUACUUUGAUUGACGGCCAGUAUAAAUGCACCGGUCUGGACAUAAGUUGCUCAAUUGCUUACCGUGGGUGCUGUGAAGACUUUAAAAUGUUUUGGCUGUGCAUUGCUCUUUUUUCUCUUGUCACUCGGCUUGUGUAUACCCAAAGCGUGGAGGCUUUGCCAGGUACAGUUGUGAUAAAAGAUAUAUCAUUUAACAUGGGUUUGUUUUCUUGAGAUUAAAUGAAAAAAUGUGCCAAAAAGACAAUAAUAACUUUCCGAUCCGAAUAGAUUUUUGCCUGCUGAAACCGUCUUAUGGCGCAUGCAAGGGACAUCGCACUCAGUGGUACUACAAUUCAUUAUUGAAUAAAUGCGAUGUAUUUAUCUAUUCGAACUGUGGUGGCAAUGAAAAUCGCUUCUACUCCCUUAGAAAUUGUGACAGGCUUUGCCGAAAACACCGGGUUAUAUGACUAAACAACUGGAAUUUGAUGCAGACUACCAAUGAAAAACUUACGAUUGUGCCUUAUAUACUAAAUCGCCCACCCUUUCUUUUUGCACGCCUUUCAAUAAAUAUUAUACAUCUUACAGCCUAAAAAAAUAUUUAUAUAAAGACAACAGCUUUUAUUUGUGGAGAAAACAGAAUGUGUGCUGACUAAUAGCCUUCCCUUGGAUGGCACUAUAAAUGUCAGAGACCCGUGUCUGAGUUUGCCAUUGAACUGCCGCUGGUUCUACAAAUAUAUCAAAAUGUUCUGGAUGCGUCUUGUUGUGUUUUUUUUAGCUGCUUCACUGGUGUAUGCCAAGAAAGAAUCCUCGGAGGACGUAUCUGACAAGCUAGAAAAAAAGAAACGUUUUGGUUUGUUACCCUGAAAUGUUUUAAAAAUUGAUUACAAUUGCUUUCUGUUUUGCACAGCUAUCUGCAGCAUGCGACCUGCCUAUGGCAAUUGCGGAGGACAUCGGUUACUGUUUAAUUAUAACAUCUACCGGAAUGAAUGCCAGUUGUUCGUCUAUUCGAACUGUGGUGGAAACCAAAAUCGUUUUUACAGCAAUGAGCAGUGCAUGAGUUAUUGUAACGGAUAAGGGUUUAUUAGACGUUAAAUACAAUUAAAGAUUUAAUUUAAAUAAAGCUAUUUCUAAUAAAUGUUGUGUCUGCACAAAUG
rnacentral:lncRNA from 1 species